rnacentral:sRNA from 1 species
UACAGAGGCAAAACGAGAUGAAUUCUUUUCUCAGAAUUUAAAAUUGCUAUUUAAAAAGCUUUGUGUAAAACUUUCUAUGGUGCAUCUUUCCUCUGGUAUUGAAUAAAAACAAGGAAUAGAGGAAUGGUAACAAAUUUAAGUGGUAUUGUAUCUACAUGGUGACCACCUGUAGUGACCACCAUGUGACCACAAAUUGCCUUUGAAUCAUUUUCAGUCUCUUUUUAAAUAAAUAAUUUGUGGUAUUUCUAGUACUGAAGGAGUUUUGAUAUUUUAUUCUGAAUUAUUCUCCAUUUAAAAGAGUUUAUUCUCACUGCUUAUCAGAUAUUUUCUGCCCUUUGUAGCUAAACCCAAAGUGAACGUGAAGCCAUCUGUGGUUAAAGUUGUGUCAUCCCCCAAAUUGGCCCCAAAACGUAAGGCAGUGGAGAUGCACACUGCUGUCAUUGCCGCUGUAAAGCCACUCAGCUCCAGCAGUGUCCUACAGGAACCCCCAGCCAAAAAGGCAGCUGUGGCUGUUGUCCCGCUUGUCUCUGAGGACAAAUCAGUCACUGUGCCUGAAGCAGAAAAUCCUAGAGAC